GUGGGGUCCGGUCCAAAGCCUAAUAGAAGAUGAGAAGAAGUCUUCAGUGGUCACCACUUAGCUUUGAAUCAGUUCCAUGGGCACACAGAGGACACACAGAGGAUUAGCACACCUGGGGACAGCAACAACCCCAGGCCUUUGCUGCAAGGGCAGAUAGGGUUUCCAAAGACCAGGAUUGUUUUCCUGCCUGGUCCCUCUCUCCCUGGAUGGGAAAUGUUCUCCAUCCCUCAGACUGGCUCCAAUCAAUCUCUCUCAGUGCAGCAUGUGUCAAGCCUGGAAGUUUUAUGGAUUUGGAGGAGAAACCCUGAGGAUGGGCCAGCACAGGGAGUGUGUGAAGUGCUUGGAACUUCAGUGGAGGCAUCCUGAUUUAUGCAAAAGAGAAUCAGGCCAUGCCUUCUGCUUUUUGAGUGCUUCCAGGGCAUAAUGAUGGCAUUUAGAGCAAUUUUACCUUGAGGUCAUCAAUUCAGA